GAGAAAGUAGUUUAAAUAAGAACUUAAGGUUGUCAGUCUUAGAGUGGGAAUUACCUCUUUCUUU
rnacentral:tRNA from 2 species